UCUGAAUCUGCGUACGGCUCCGCAAACCAGUUGUAAACUAUAGCAAGCAGGCUCGGGGUCGGCCUUCACGGGCUGGCCUCGGGUGAUAUGGAUAACCCUGGUAAUUCUGAGGCUAAUACAUGAACGUAGAACCCGGUUGACUAGGCUUCACGGCCCGGGAUGCUGGGGGAUGUGCGAUUGGCAGGCUUGGGUAACACCGGGAAAGGGCGCGCGUCCAGACCGCGCUAUAAAGGAUGGGCUCCUCACGGGGCCUGCCCCAGCGGCUCUUGCUGUGUGCUUCUGACCUAUCAACUAGACGGCAGCGUAAGGGACAUG
rnacentral:rRNA from 1 species